CUCCUCAGCUUUCAUCCAACUAAAGUGGAUAAACACGGGAAGAGAGGAACCGAAGGUUGUAUACGCCCAGGGGCACACAUACUCAUUGAGUGGAAAUAGGACCACUGUGCAGAUAACACAAGAAUCCCUGGACAGAAGGAAAGGUAGGUGGAAAAACCCUUCAGCUUGCUUGAGAGAGCACUCCUGGACCCCAACCCUUUUUUCUGAAUUAUUCUGCCUUUUACACAGAUCCUAGACUAAAAUUAACAAUUACGUGUGUAUAUAAACCCUCUAGGACCAGAACUCAGUGCACUUCCUGGCCUAUGACAAUUAGUGAUACUUUUUUGGAAAGUGGGAGAUAAGACAUUAAAUCUAUUCCAAAUGCAACUGCAUGAAAUGCAACAUCAGAACCUUCAUCAGAGUCACUUGGAAAGCAUCAGCCCUACCAUGGUAGUGUGAGACCAAUCAUUUAGUUAACAUUAAAGAAAGCAAAUAAAAAAGCCCAUAGUAUAUAUCUUGAUGUAUCUUACCUUAGCUUUUAAUCUUUUACUUCAUUAGACUUGGAAGAAGUGGAAUCCCAUGAAAAAUAAAUUUCUGCAAGGAUGAAGAUUUUUCUUCAAAGGGAGUUUGAAAGAUUAUGAUUAUGUCACUUACUGAAAAGUGAUACAACUGAAGCAGCACACAAGUACUGAAUAUGUUUACUCACUCUAAGUCAUUGUAAGAGGACAUUUUGUAUUUGUUUCACAGUGGAAACAAAGCCAGAUGAAUUAAACCUCAAAAAAGCACUGUAAAUAAAACCCCUUCUCACAAUGUCUGCAGAAUUCACAACUGCAAAGCUGAGGCAGAAUAUGGAUUACUCCAUAAACUAAUUCUUAAUUCAUGUAAAAAUACACAUAAGUGGACUUUUUAUUUGCAGGCUGUAAGGAAUAGAAGUAUAUCAACAAGAAUAAAAAUGUACAGAAGUUUUCAAAACCUUUUUUAGGGGAAAAAAAACCAAAACAGAAACAAACAAGAAAACAAACAGUCCAUGUUAUAGGAUGUUUUCCCUCACAUGUGUUCUGACACUAGCACAUGGAAAGUAAAGGACCACUUUAACCAGCACAUUCUGAGUUUUAUUUUAAAAUCCUUAGAUAAGUGUUAGGUGAAUUUCAACUUACAUACAACUUUUGCCUUAAAUAAAAAUAAUUACAAGCUUUUGUUCUGUAAUUUUGGGUAAACAGAAAGCUGGUAAGCAAACAAACUUUAGUGAAAAAAACCCAACAGUUCUGUACAAGAUUCCAUUUUGGAAUUUUUAUUUUAGACACAAUUAAGGGUUUCUUUUUAGAUUAAAACCAUUUCAUAGAGUAAUUUUCAUGCAACAGAGUAAACUUUUUUCCUAUGCUGUUUGACAGCACAGGAGAUAAAUGUUCACAUGAACAAGCUGUUAACCAUGAAUGCAAAUAACACUAUGAACUUUAAAGAAAGUAUUUCAACAACAACAGUUAUGGUUCUUGGGACACCAGCAAGGUGUGUAAACCGAAGUGUUUUGGAAAUAUUUUAGUUGCAGCAAGAGUAACACCAAAAUAUUUCCAUUUUUGCUGACAACACAUGGAGCACCUAUCAGUUCUAGAAGUGAUUCUGGAAAUGACACCAUCACCUGCACCAAGCUUAGUAAUUAAUUACCAGAUACAUUUAAAAGAUUCUCAAUUAUUCUUAAGGUUUUGAAAUUUAAACCGGAGUACAAGUAGAGUAAAUAUUAGAAAAUUCCUUAUUAUUGUCCUGUCUUGUUACAGAAGAACAUUUUAUAAUACCUAUCUCAUGCAUCUGUAUCUUCCAAAACCUCACUGAAUCAAUAUGCUUUACAGGUUUAGGCAUAAAUUCUGUUUCAAAGAAAAAAAAAAUCAGAAGCUAAGACCUGAAUUAUUUUAAGCUGGCUUCACCAGCCACUGAAAUAGUAUAACAUCUGUCUUGCACAAAAUUAUAUAAUUUAUUUCAAUAUUCUUACAAGCCUCUAAUUAUACAAUCAAUUUAUUUUCCACAUCAAACAAUUUAAGAAACCUUAUAUACAUAAGAAAUUAUUGUAGAUAUCUUACAUGGUAACUUAUCAAGUAUUCAGAUAGAUGUGUGUACUGCCUUUCACUCUGCCUGUGACAUUACUUUCCUCCUAUUUCAUCAACAAUUAAACUGACUUACAAAUACAGUUGUUCAAACGGUAGAAGACAAAAAUAAAAAGUAAAAAACUUUUUUUUUUUGUGGUCCUCAGAAUUACUGAAAAUGCCUUUGGAUUUUGCCAUAAAUAUUCAAACGGCAUAUGAAAUUAAAAUCUCAGAAAUUUGGAUGUACAAAUCAGUAGCUCCUGAGUUACAGUGUAGAAGCAUUUUGGGCAAUCAGUUGUAACACGGAUGUAUAGAAGGAACUUUCUCAAAUACUCAAGUAAAAAAAAUGUAUUAUAGCAAAUGCUAUUGUUCUAACACAUGCUUCAGGUUAUGUUUUUAAAUUCCACCUAAAAGCAAUAGGUUCAUGCUGCCAUUUCAUGAAGCUGUGUUACAAAGAGUAAUUAACACUGAAUAGCUACAAAAGCAUUUCCUAUUUUCAAGUAAACUGUACAAACCCAUCAGCAGAGCACUGUGCCUCACUGGAAUAUGUCUUCACAACCUUGUGGUGUCAUGGGGGACUGUAACACUGCAUUUACAGCAACACUGAUGUUAUUUUUUUCUUUUUUUCAUAUAAUCAAUAAAAAUUUUACAAAAAUAUAGCCAACAAACAUAAAAGCAUGCUGCAAAUUCAGUUCUGCCUAGAGACAGCACUUUGCAAUUACAGCUAUAGAAGCCAAGCAUUUGGAAGCUAUGGCUGUGCAUUCCUUACACAACCACAUAGUCACAACUGUGUAUUGCCACAAACUUCUCUUUGUGAGGGGCAAAAGAUGGAAAGUGCACUUUUAAUCAACUGGAGAAUAGAACUAUUUUUUUUCAGCAUGACAUCAUGUCAUACAUUAGCAUUCACAUGCUAAGCUAAGAAUUUCAUGUCUUGUAGUAAUCUUUAUAAUUCAGUAAUACUGAGCAAAUGCCACUGCAUCUCCUAAUAGAUUUUGUAUUUUGUAGAACUAUAUUUAUCGUAACUUCAUGCUAUUAAUUUUCUCUGGUCUGCAUUAUGAGGUCUCAGAAGUAACAGCCUGAAAGUGCCCUGGGCACAGGGACACAUUAACAACCAAAACUAAAAAAAAAAAAA